UACAGAGGUCUCAAGCGUUGUUCGGAUUCAUUGGGCGUAAAGGGCGCGUAGGCGGCGGGGUCAGUCGGGUGUGAAAUCUUGGGGCUUAACCCCGAAACGGCACUCGAAACUGCCCGGCUGGAGGGCCGGAGAGGAGAUCGGAAUUCACGGUGUAGCAGUGAAAUGCGUAGAUAUCGGAAGGAACACCAGUGGCGAAGGCGGCUACCUGGAUUGACACUGACACUGAGGCGCGAGAGCGUGGGGAGCAAACAGG
rnacentral:rRNA from 1 species